UUCUUAAAAAGUCAUCAACAUAACUUUUGUAGCUUAUGAAAUUAUCUACAACUUUGUUUUAGGUGUCAUUUACAUGCAAGGUAUCUAACACCAGUUUCAUAAAACAUCUUUGAAAAGAGGUCUAGGGGGUCAACUAGGUCAAUCUAGGGUUAAUCAUGACUUAGGGGUAUUUUUGGAUAAAACCCCCAACACAAACUUUGUUCAAAAUGUUAUUCUAAAUAUGAUUAAAGUAUAUUGGAAGACAAUGUACACUUGUAUGCAUUGGUCACCCAUUACAAUCAACCAUAGCAAGUCAUAUAGCAAUUCAAUCACAUAGUAUAUGUAGCAAAUGGCAUGUGAUCAUAGUAUGAUGCUCAUGAGUGAUCAUGAUAAUGCUUAUGAUGAUGCAAUGCUCAUGGUUAACAUGCAAGCUAACACUAGGAGUGUUACACAGCGAAUCCCAGGACGACUGAGAAAAUGGAGAGUCUUGUUCGGAGGACUUAAAAACACCAAACGCCUUGCCAAGUGGUAAACUUGGUAGUUAUCUUUUUUCCUUUGAACUAUUUAAAAUAGUUUGCUUAGUUAAUCGGGUUCAUAUCAUCUAGAAAAGAAAAUAAAAAUGUUAAAAAUAGUAAGCCCCAUGUGAGUAUGCUGAUGGCAUAAAACCCAUAAGUACAUUCACAAUGGUGGCAUAAAAUUGAAAUAAAUAUAUUCCUGUCCUAUAAAAAUAAAAAUAUAAAAAUAAAUUAAUGAUUCUACUAAAGAGAGUAACAUUUAUUGAGGAGGCUCAACAUGAUAAAGGCUAGAUAUUUAUGCUAACACUUAACCGGUCCACAAAGCUUUGUUGUCUAUUUGAGCUCCACAGAAUUCUAGGAUCAAAGAAGACUAGCAGACGGAGGACAUUCUAAUUGCUGUCAGGGUGCUGCCGACAUUCAAAUACACCUCCGCCACGUGCUAGCUACAUCAGGAGAAAUUACGUCAAAAUCCAGCUCGGUGGAGAGCACCCCCAUUUAUCUAGCUAAGUGUUCUACUCAUGUUUAUACUUUACUCAAAUAAUAAAAAGAUGCAUAAUCAUCAAAACCCAAAUAAAGAUUUUUUGCUUAUAUCUUUGCUUAGUUUGCUAAAUAAAUAAAUAAAUAAAGUUUGCUAUGAACCCUCAUGAUAAGCUCUCACAUGGAAAUGAUGAAUAGUUGCUCUGCCAUGACUAGUUCUCAAAAUUGAAAUAUCUCUCAAGUUUAGGCAUGACUGUUAUUAAUUAAGAUUUGCUCUAAACCUGAACUUAUGGGAAGAGUACUUGAUCUAAAGUCUAAGUCGUUAACGGAUACGAUAUGGGAAGGUUGAGCUGUUGUUUAUCUGUUCCUAGAGAUGCUAGAAUUCUAGAGAAUUUUAUCUUUGAAAAUCUUUAAAAUAUUGCAUGCUGAGUUCCUGUAUGAUGAGAGUUUAAAGUCCUACCACAGCUAUAUAUACAUGCUUAUUAGACUGUCAACCAUACAUUUACUUUACUGCUUAUGAGCAUUGAGUGUGGUCAAGCUGUGUAGACCCUUAGGAGCUUGUCAUGUGGUUAAAAUCAAGAUUCACUUGCACGUUCACUCAUACAUGCUACUUCUACUCCAGAAGUACGCAUCCACAUACAUCCACUCAUUUCCAUAUCCAGAUUCAUCCAAAAUUAUUCUACUCCUAUCUAGGAGAGAAUAGCCAAAAACAAUAUCGUAUCCUUGUUAUUCCCCGUGAAAUAAAUGCUCGAGAUAUUUUGGUUACUACCACGUGCUACAUUAUUCCAGGAAGGUGAGUGCUCUGAAAAAAAGUGAAUACGAGGAAAUAAAAAGGGCCAAGUGCCCGAAACCUCGAAAAAAAGAAAAGAAAAAGUGAGACGAGAGGUAAAAAUGGACAAGUGUCCGACAGUAGAAUUAGGGGUACAAGAUACCCACCUGAGAGGAAAGAAAAAGAAGAUAUAGAGCAUCUUAUUCUCCUCAAAAUGUUUCAAAAGAGCAAGAAAGGUAUGUAUCCCCUCAAAAGAGCACAAGUUAAAUUAGACUUUCACCAUUGUUAUCACCAUCAUCAUCAUACACCAUUCAUUCGCCACACAUGCACAUCUUGAUUUGACUUAUUGACUUGUUCUUCUGGAUCCAUGGUUUGACUAUGCAAUAAAUGUCUUGUAAGUAUGUAUUAGCUGUCUCCGACCUAUGAGCUGCAGAUAUCAAAACCUUAUUAGAGUAGGGUGAGAGAGAAGGCAAUGCCACUAUGCCUCAUACCAAAAAUACCACAUACUUUGAGAGAAGGCAUACACCAUUACUGCCUUGGUAAGGAUCCAAAAAUACCACAUCUCUCUUAUGUGGUAUUUCUGGAUCCUUUCCAAGGCAGUAAUGGUAUAUGCCUGCUCUCAAAGUAUGCGGUAUUUUUGGUAUGAAGCAUAGUGGCAUUGCCUUCUCUCGCACCCUACUCUAAAAAGGUUUUGAUAUCUGGAGCUCAUAGGUUUGAGAUAGAUAAUACAUACUUACAAGACAUUUAUUGCAUAGUCAAACCAUGGAUCUAGAGAAACAGGUCAAUAAGUCAAAUCAAGAUGUGCAUGUGUGGCGAGUGAAUGGUGUAUGGUGAUGAUAGUGAUAACAAUGGUGAAAGUCUAAUUCUACUUUUUGCUCUUUUAAGGGGAUACAUACCUUUCUUGCUCUUUUGGAACUUUUUGAGGAGAAUGAGAUGCUCUAUAUUUUCUUUUUCUUUCCUCUCAGGUGGGUAUCUUGUACCCCUAAUUCUACUAUCGGACACUUGUCUAUUUUUACCUCUCGUCUCACUUUUUCUUUUCUUCGAGGUUCCGGGCACUUGCCCCUUUUUAUUUCCUCGUAUUUUUGCUCUCAUUUUUUCUUUUUUCUUUUUUUAGAGCACUCAUCUCCUGAAAUAAUAUAGCAAGUGGUAGUAACCAAGAUAACUCGAGCAUUUAUUUCACAGGGAAUAACAGGGAUAGGAAAAAGUUUUUGGCUAUUCUCUCCCGGAUAGGAGUAGAAUAAUUUUACGUGAAUCUGGAGAUGGAAUUGAGUGGAUGUAUGUGGAUGCUUACUUCCGGAGUAGAAGCAGCAUGUGUGAGUGAACGUGUAAGUGAAUCUUGAUUUUAACCGCAUGACAAGCUCCUAAGGGUCUAUACAGCUUGACCACACUCAAUUCUCAUAAGUAGUAAAGUAAAUAUAUGGUUCAUAGUCUAAUAAGCAUGUAUAUAUGGUUGUGGUGGGAUUUUAAACUCUCAUCAUACAGGAACUCAUCAUGCAACAUUUUAAAGAUUUUUAAAGCUAAAAUUCUCCAGAAUUCUAGCAUCUCUAGGAACAGAUAAACAGCAGCUCAACCUUCCCAUAUCAUAUCCGUUAACGACUUAGACUUUAGAUCAAGUACUCUUUCCACAAGUUCAGGUUUAGAGCAGGUUUAAAUUAUAACAGUCAUGCCUAAACAUGAGAGAGAGCUCAAACUUAAAAACUAGGUACAUGGCAGAGCAACUAUUUAUCACAUCCAUGUAAGAGUUUAUCAUUUAAGUUCAAUUUGGCCUAGACACUUUAUUUAUUUUUUAGCAAACUAAGCAAAGAUAUAUAUAAGCACAAAAUUUUUAUUUGGGUUUUCACGAUUAUGCAUCUUUUGAUUAUUUGAGUAAAGUAUAAACGCGAGUAGAAACACUUAGCUGGAUAAAUGGGGGUGCUCUCCCCCAAGCUAGAUUUUGACGUAAUUUCUUCUGAUGUAGCUAGCAGGUUGCAGAGGUGUAUUUGAAUGUUGGCAGCACCCUGACAGCGAUUACUAUGUCCUCCGCCGGCUAGUCUUCUUUGAUUCUUGAAUUCUAUGGAGCUCAAAUAGACAACAAAGCUUUGUGGAACUGGUUAAGUGUUAGCAUAAAUAUCUCUUAGCAUUUAUCAUAUUGAGCCUCCUCAAUAAAUGUUACUCUCUUUGGUAGGAUCACAAUCUUAUUUUUAUAUUUUCAUUUUUAUAGAGCAGAAAAAAUAUUUAUUUAUGCCACCACAGUGAAUAUACUUAUGGGUUUUAUGCCACUCUUAUAUUCACAUGGGGCUUACUAUUUUUUAAUAUUUUUAUUUUCUUUUCAAGAUAGUAUGAACCCGAUUAACAAAACAAGCUAUUUAAAGAAAAUAAAUAAUUUGAAGGGAAAUGACAACUACCAAGUUUACCUCUUGGCACGGCGUUCAGCGUUUUUAAGUCCUUCGAACGGGACUCCUUGUGUUUUCAGUCGUCCUAGGAUUCCAGCGGUGGCUCCUCUUCUAGUACAACUCUCUUCUCUAUCCACACCAGAUUCGGUGCUACGGUCUCCUCUGGACAAUCCUGUUCAAGAUGUAUAUCUUUGGACCUUAUUACAUCUCCUUUGUAGUCUGCCCAUCCAUCCUUGAUGAUUUGCCUCCUCUAGUUUCAGUUGCGUCGCCUUCUUCUCAUCCUGAUCUGCUUAGAAUCUUCAACUAUAUAGUUAGAAUCAUUAAACUAGUGGCGUACCUUCUCAGAGGGGAAGUGCAUGUGGACUUCUCCGGUUCCAAUACAGAUGAUAGCUUUGAUAGUGUUGAGGAACGGUCUUCCAAGGAUGAUGGGUGGAUCAUACUCGUCUUCUCCCAUGUCAAUGACCUGAAAAUCAUCUGAAGCUGAAUGUAUGUUGGUUGUUGGGGCAUGGUUCCAUGCAGGAGCUGAUAAGUGAUUGCGGCCAUUAUGUUGACGUUAGAUCCAGUGUCGUAGAGUGUUGUGUUCAUCCUUUAGGUGCAUCAUUUGAUUAGGUGUGGACCUUGACGUCUGCACCUCUUGAUACGGUGUCACCCAUGUUCUUCGUUUGCCCAGUAGUUCGAAGUGCGGCGUUGGCAAUAUCCUGCUCAGUGUGUUUGUGCUCGUAGAUCCAGGUCCUUCACUUGGUGGAGUCUGAGAGUUGAAAACUCCUCCAUGUUUUGCUUGAAGUGUACCUGUUCAUAGAGACAAGGCAGAGAUCAAGUGCAUGGGCCCUGUUGGUGGAAAACACCAACAGAACCAAAAGUGUAUUUGUUCUUCUCUAACCUUAAGCAUAGUGAGCAAGACAAAGUUGAUGGAUCAUGAGUGUAGCAUUUGAAACAUUUAUCAGAUCAGAUGGCUCAACCUAAUGGAAAGAUAAUCUAUCUAUAUUUAAGUUUUGUUUAUAUCUCCCAAAGAUUGAAUGUGCACAUUUUAGCUUAUAUGAUUAGGAGUGUGGGAUCACGAACGUAGUACUAAGAACAAAGAUUAAAGGACUAAACAUGUUGAAUUAAUUGGGUUGGUUAAUUUAUGUUUGUCUCUUUAUUCAUGUGAACGCCAGAACCAAGGAGAAGCUUAUAAAAGUGAUAGUCAAGUACCUUAAGAUGUUACCUUACUUGAAGAGUGAUGGUACAGUAUUACCUUGUGGAAGCUUUCCUUUCUUAGUGGUUGUGAACCGUGUUUGUGGCACUCUUUGUCUCGUUCCAUGGAUCAUCUGUCCAAAUCGUUAAACUUCAUGUGUCUCAUUUGUCUCCAAUGUGAGUUUGUAUAUCAGGACUUCCUAGGUUGAUAUUGAAAGUUUUCUUGUAGGGGUUAGUUCGACAAAAUAUACCAAUGUCUACUCAAGCAGUUUUUUAGUUCAGUAACCAAACUAGACUCUAUGUCUAUUCAGAUUAAGGAAAGCUGUUUAACCUAAGCACCAUGCUUAAUUUAAAAGCCAAUAGAAGUAUGUGCAGUACUUCCAAACUAACACUUACUAGGAUAAACAAAGGUAGCGUGAUGGUAUUUAUAGAGAUCUACUCAAGUGGAGAUGAAGUAGUGUGAUUAGUAUUUAACAAAUUGAGCAUGUCUCAAAGGUAGGGACAACCAACAAAGCAACAUGGCAAAGGAUGUUUUUAUGUAAAGUACUCCCCCAAUCUUGAAUUUUGCAGAAUUCAAGAUUGGAUGAAUUUAAUUCAAUGUUGCAUGAUGAUUGGUUGGGCAUACCUUGUGCUUGUCAUUCAUCCGAUCUUCUUGCUCUAAUCCUGGAAAGGUUAGUGACAAGAAUACCCGAAGGAAUAAUUCUACAAUUAUCUUUAUAUGCUCAAUACACAAGGCAAUGUUGCAAAUAAUUAAAAGUUCAUGUUACUAUCUGAUAAGUGCUUGUUUUAGGACACUAAGCUUGUCCUUGGGAAACCAUCAAAAUGUGUUGGUGAGGUAUUUAUGAAAUAACUUCCAUGCUCACUGUUGUUUCUCUCAUUUUCAAACUCCAAGGAUGAUUCUUCAUGAAUGCUUAAAAUUCCUCUAGGAUUGUCUCUCAAGUUUGUUUUAUCCAUCCAUUCAAUGGUGAUAGCACAUGGAUUUUUAAUGCCCUCUAGCCAUUGAUGUUGCUCUUCUCGAUCCUCCUUGUGGUCUUCGUAACUCUUAUGCAUGGGAUGUCUAGAGAGAUUCAUAGGGUCAUCGGGAGGUUUAAGAGAAAGAGCAUAGUAGAAAUUAUUAGGCUCAAGGAUGGGUUUAAAGAUAGUUUUGAAUGAGUCAUCAAAAGUGAGCGUAGAAGGGGAGAAGAUGAGAUUGUCUUCUAAAUGGCUUCGCUCUCCUUCUAUUGCAUCACUUAAGAUGCCAUCGUUGAGUCUUUCUAGAUGUCCAUCAAAGGGAUUGGAUUUGAGAUGCUUUCUAAGAGAUCCCUUCUUAGGAAGGUUCAAACUAUAUGUACUCAAAGGUCUCUUAUGAAGCAGGAAGUUUAAGCUCAUCCCAAAAUGAAUUUGCAAAGGUAGAAUUUCUUCUUCCCUAAGAUGAUUUUGGAGAACUACUAGUUUGGGUUGGAUAGCCGAAUCAUUGGAUUGAAAUGUUUGGAAAUCGGCUAUUGAAACUUCCUUUCCUCUUCUGGGAGAUUAUUCCUUCUCUAUCUCUAGGAUUUUUUUCUGAAGACUAGUGCAAGAAGGAUGUCCACGAAUGAAGACAUACCUUGCUUUACUAAUAGAUAAAGAAAGAAAAACUCUACCAAAGGUUAUAUGAUUAAGACCAAUGUGAAAAUAUCGAGGAAAAACAUGGUCUUGUAGGGCUAGGUUUAAACCAAAAUUUAUAGAAAGAUUAAAAGAUUCCCUAGGUGUAGCUAAAAGUUCAUUAUCUUCUUGAUUAAAAGAUAGGACCUCGGCUAUAUAAAAGGGUUGGUUUUGACCUAUUGCAAUCAACUCCAGACACAUAUCAUAAUUAGGGGCAAAGAAAGGACUUGUUGACUCCCAUGGUCUAUGGCUGGUCUCCGAAGGUGCAAAAAAUUCAAUAAUAGGUGUGGAAUUUGAGUUAUCUAUAAAGAUGGAAAAAAUAAAAACAUAAAAUAAUAAAUGUAUAAAAGUAUAAUACAAGAUAAUAGCAAGACUUAAAGUUAUCUCAGCAAACUGUCUUUCUCCCCAGCAACGGUGCCAAAAAUGCUUGUUGAUAUUUGGUAAUGCCAUCAGGAAAUGAUCCACAAGCGCACGGAUAUCGGUGAGCACUUCACCUUGGAGGUUAUCCAAAGUAUCGUAUUUUUAUUUUUACCACUGGGAGAAAGCGUGCAUCUGACUAACCAAAUCUAUUGCUACUACCCUUUAGGCCACAAACAAUGUGAUUCGUUGUGAGUGAUGUAUAGAGAAGACUACAACUGCACUCUCGUUCUAACCAUGGUAAGGAUGAUCUAUUGUUCUAUUGGGGAGGCUCACGGAAUCUAGACACUACAAAGGAUGUUCGACCCGCACCUAUAAACCCUAUCGAUCCUGCUAAUGUGACGUGGGCUACAAAGGUAACUCAGAAAUGUCACGUUCCUCGCUUCUACCACGGUCUGGCUAGACAGGGGAUAUCUAUGAGUACCCUAGUCCAAACACCACGUUUACGCUAGCAAUGAUCACUCUAAACACAACCGGAAGAGAUUAAAGUAAACUCAUAAACCAAAGAACAAUAAAACAAAGAACUUACUAGAAUUUAUAAGUCGAAAUACUAAAGAAUCCUAGGAGCAAGCCUCGGGUUAGGAGACUUGAUCCCGCAGGUACAACCUCGGAGUAGACACCGACAGGUCGGUCUUCCUCCGAUCUACACCUCCACUCUAUCUCUCUCAAUCUAAAAGAACUUAGAACAACUAAUUCUAAUCUCACAUUGGAUGCUAAGCCCUAAUUCUCUAUAGAGGAAAGGUUAUCCUUCGAGGGCACCUCUCAACUCUAUAAUUAUGUGUUCUCCUCCAGGGGCCAGGGGCCUUGCUUAUAUAGCCUCCUCAUUUUGUGCCUUUUUGGUUCAGCAGGCGAUGUUGUACUAAACUUUCCACCAUAUCUCAUUAAAAUGCACAUAGGCCUUAAUGGACCAAAAUCUGAUUUGGGCCCAAUUAAUCCCGCAGCUCUUUUAUGUGGAGUCCUUCUUUUAUUAAUAUCUCUUGAUUCUGAACUCCAGAUAUAGCAAAUAAUAUAUGCAUUUCGAUCAGCUCGACGAGAUCUUUGUAAUGGUGUACUCCAUUUUGUGAUUGGUGCUUGUACCAGGGUGGGCGCCCAAGGGGGGAGGGCGGCCGGCCUACCCCUAGGCCCGUUCGGCCUCCCGUUUGUUCCCGUGGCUUCUGGAGUCUUCUAGAUGAUAGAAAAUUGCGCGGCACGUUAAUAUCUCUAUGUAAACCCGACGUGUGGGCCUUUCCUCCAUAUUUCCUGAUAACCGCCUAUAGAAAUAGACAAACGCCAAAACUCGUGGAAUUCUAUCAGAUGAAACCCUAAGUCUAGGUGUUGGUUGCAUUUGGAUCCUUUUCUUUAUUGAUUUGAUGAUUAUAUUUGGUACUUAAGGACCGUCAACAGAGACCAGGGCACCCGCCCACCUUCUGUGCCCAAAUGGAGUCCUUUUCGGGGAUCAUGCUCCACCGACCUAAGGGAUCAAGGAAAACCAUGCGAUUAAUGUCGGUUUGAUCCGAUGGCCCAGAUUCAUCUUAAAAGACUAUAUAAGCAAGGCUCCCUAGCCCCUGGAGAGCAUACCUCUUCUACAGAAUCAAAGCAAGGGUUUUAAUUCUUCAUCCAAGUGGAGAGGAUCCCUCUAGUUCAUCUAGUUCUAGUUCUAGUUCAUCUAGUUCUAGUUCUAGUUAGUUGUUGAUGCAAAACUGAUCUGCAAACACAAAGGGCUAAUACCCGAUUCAAACGUUAAGGCGUGCCAGCCGAUUUGACCUUGCUAUCGGCAAAGGUGAUAACUCGAAUACUUUAGUCCUGACAACAGCGAUGCGCCCGGGUGUCACGGCUAAGAGGUACUCACGCGGAACUCGAGAACACGCCGAGCUUAAGUCGACGAAUUCCUAAGAACUCGUAAUAAAAAGGAAAAAGUAUGACGAAGUCGUCGAAAAAGUAGAUGCUGGAAUAUGAGUAAAAACGUGUGUUUGAUUGAUUUCUUGAUAUAUUGAUUACAAGGUCCUAGGGUUUAUAUUUAUACCCUGCUCAAAGAGCUACAACCAGACACGAUUAGAAUUCGAAUUCCAAAUUACACGGAAUCCGUAUACAAAACGAUGCAAAUAACUAAGGAAAUAAUAAAACUAUCCUUCGUGAUAACCCGAAACUCCUCCAGAUGACAACUGGCAGCUUCCGGACUCCUCCUUCGCGUCAUCGGCAAUCCCCUUGCCAUAGUCAUCGGCAGAUCUUUUUACCCAGCCAUCGGCACCAUAUUACUGCCUGUGGACUUAAUCACAUUAAACUUCUCCCUCAUCGGCAACCAUCCUCAUCAACAACCCGCAUUGUACUGCCACCCUAUCCUGCCAUCCUGGACACGUGCCCAAAAACGGUGUCAACACAUGCCCCCCAGUUUCGGAGUAUAAAACUAUUAAUGCUCCGAAAUUCUCUGCAGUAAUGAUGCCUUUUCCGCAAUUAAUGCUCCUAAUCUGGUAACCGACAACCUCAAUCUGGACAACUCUGAUCCUAAUCCUCCGCAGAUUCCUCGAAAUUCCCAACUUCCUAAACGGGCAUCUUUCUUGGUCGUACAUCGGCAACAAUUCCGUUAUAAAGAUCUGCCGAUGCUCUGACCAGGAUAUUCGCAAAAAACGGUUACCCCCCGUCUAUCCGCCCAUCGGCAAGAUGACCGUUAUAGAAUAUUGCCGAUGGACCGACCAGGAGAUCGCGCACAGUAAAAUAUCUUUAGAUAAUGACCGCUUCCUGUCAAAUCACCUGCACAAUCCCUGGAUUACCGUGCGAACAGUUACCAUAUCCAUCUGAGUACCCUCGGGCUUCUCGGAUGCGGCAAAGAGAUAAGACGGAUUUGCCCUUGCCCAUCUUGUCCUAUAAAUAGUUCCUUCUUGGGUACUCCUCCUCCAUUACACCAUUCUACUAUCCAACUUUGCUUUUCCAGCGGCGGCGCCAUCUACAACCCUCAAGACCUCCGACAAGCACUCUUCUUCAUCAACUCUGGUGCCCUCCAACGUCCUUUUCACGACAAGAUGGCCAUUGGCUUCGUCGUCCCUGAGGUCAGACUUCCAUCUCAUCUGCUGUACCUUUUUCUCGCAUUCCUGUUCAUCUGCGAUUCAUCUUACCGAAUAUUUUCCUUUCCCUUUUUCUUUGUAUCUUUAUUCUCCAAAACACUAGGAGUUGUCCAACAAAAUUGUCAUCCCUACCGAUCAACCACACCUUCAGUGCCUCGGCCCUCUAGGGGAUCCAGAUCCAACUGACCUUAUCAAUGCAGAAACCAACAGGAUUCCCUUUAGAGCUGAAAACUUUUCUUUAGAUCUGUGGAAAGACACCUUUCGUUCUUGGCCCAGCCCUACCGUAGGGUGGAAAGACUGGUUUUUGAGGGUCAGCAAUUCUUAUGAAGUUCAAUGGGGUGAGAGAAAGCUAGCUCAAUGCAUUAGGCUAUCCAUUGCCGAUAUGCACAGGAACGAGUCAUUGCUGAUAGCUGCAUCCUACUUUUGGUCAGACACCCUCAAUGCUUUUGUUUUUGGCCACGGCCCUGCUUCUCCUACCCUUGCCGAUGUAGCCAUGCUUACUGGGCUAGAUAUAUCUUCUGCCGAUAGCACCCACUUUUUUGAUACCGCCCCCAGUACCAAAGUGGAGACUCGCGCUAUCGGCGGUUGGUCAGGGUACAUCCAGAAGUACCGCGGGAGAGGGCCUGUCACCACAAAGGAGCAAACCACCUUUCUGAACAUGUGGCUGGACAAGUUUGUAUUCUGUGGUCGAUCGGCAGGACCGACUUCUGUCUAUCUAUCGGCAGCAGAAAGACUGGCUAGCGGCGGCCAAUUUCCUCUCGGCCGAUAUCUGCUCGGCGCUGUUUACCACCUUCUUCAUCAGGUAGCCCAGAAACUCCUGCUUGGCCAAUCCAUCGGCAACUUGGGAGGCCCCUGGUGGUUUAUUAAUAUGUGGCUCAAUCUGCAUCUGCAUAAGCGCCUUGAUUUCAACUUGUUCUCACAGCACUUCCCAAGAGAUAUAGCCGAGAAUCAUGUGUUAGGUGAAGAGGAAUCGGCAACGCGUGCCCCCUUGAACUUUGGUGAAGCCGUUAUAGUCUUACCCGGUUCAGGGAACAAUCCGGAUCAGAUCGGCCGAUUCUUCGAGACUCUGUAUGAGGGUCUGGCCAGAGAUGAACGACCAUGGCUGGCUUAUGACGACCCAGACAGCAUGCUCCCUCUGACUUUCAAUCCAUUUGAUGAAGCUCUCGACAGGGACAAUGAGGUGAUGAUGGCAAUCGUGACUCCCAGAGCCAUACCAGUGAAUUUCUUCGGUAGCACGAAAACCUCCCCCCAAACCUAUGAAUUUUAUAAUCCAUCGGCAUUAGCUCGCCAGCUAGCUUUCGGCCAAUUGCCGAUUGCACUUCCUUAUGCCGAUGUAAUAAAGCCCAGAGAACCCAUCGCCAACCUCCUCGAGUGGACUCGAGUAGCCCAGCUACCACCAAAUGCCGAUACAGAUGUAGAUCUGUCAGAAUGGGUUCCAGCUGCCUUUAUCACUCAGGCAUACAAGCUAUGGUGGGCAGAAUGGAAAGAGAAUCUAUUCUGCAGAUCGGCCCUCUCAUACCGCGGCAUGAUCGACCCUGAAUACGAAGUCCCUGAUGACAUUGUAAGUAUUUUAAACCGAUGUCUCAUUUUCCAAUACUAUUCCUAUCGGUAACUUACCCCUGUAUUUCUUUUGCAGACUGACAACACCCCCCCAUCGGUUAGCAGGAGUGGCAAGCCGAUCGACUUAUUCCCAUCAGGCCCGAUCUCCUCAAUCGGCCAUAAGGCUCCCACUCUGGCUUCCAUCGUGCACCGGGGUGCGCGCCUCAAGAAAGUUACCACCAGGAAAACUCAGACAUCACCAACGGUAACUGCUUCCACUCUGGCGCAAGCUUUCAAGGCAAUCUGUUAAAACCUUUUUCAUUUAUGCUGACUAUCUUUGUAUCGGCUAUCUGUGCUCAUAAACUCCUUUUUGUUGUUGCAGCAAACUGGUGCAUCGGCAAAAGCCAAACGCCAAGGUGCCGAUGCCCCCCAGUCUAGCCAGCCAAAGAGGAAGGGCAUCCAAGGUGCUAAGGCUGGAACAAAGCGCCAGAAAGUGGCAACUCCUCCUCCUCCUCCGGUGUCUCCAAUCCCGGUGGAAUCUUCCCCUUCUUCUCCAGAAGUCCAGACACAGCAAGUACCAUCUCCCCAACCAAUACAGGAAGCACCACAGAUGGAAGAACCCCAGCAGGAAGAACCUCAAACGGAAGGUACAUCAGCUGACGCAGGUGAACAAACAACUGGCCCGGCAGGUCCAGUUAUAUCAUCGGCGGUUUCCCCGAUUCAGGCGACUGUUGUUUCUCCUCCGGGUAACAUAUCUCCACAAUACUUCCGCCGAUAAACUUAUUUUUAUUUAGUCUCAUAAUCCUUCCUGUCUUCUUUCAGGCGAUAUCGUUCCAUCGGCAACAUUUGCCGAUCAACCUGUAGCUCCAUCGGCAUCUUUGAGUCAAAGGCAAGAAAUCGCCUUGAAGCACGUAAGUCAUCCAAUUUUCCACCAGUAUCGUCUGCCGAAGUUUUGACCAUAAAACUGACUUAUUUCAUCUUCAUUUUCAGGAACAAGAUUCUCCCAACAGCUUAUUCUCCUUCGCCAUUGAUAUCUUCGAAGAAGAAGGCGAGAAAGCAAGCUCCUCUCGGGCAGUUGGAACUGUAUCGGCAGAAACCAGAGCUAAGCUGGAAGAGCUAUCGGCCAUACUUCAUCAAGACACAACUCAGCUGGUCAAUGAUUCUGACCUAGCCAAAGCCCUGUUCAAGACCCUUAGAGGCCAAAUUCCUGCCGAUGCUGAAGAAACACUCUUCCAUGCUGCACACCUAGAAAGCCGUCAGCUACAGUACCAGAGAGCCACUCGACGCCUUGCCGAUAGAGCCGCUCAAAUCUAGCUUUCUGAGGAGAUGAUGAAAGAAAAACUCUUAGCCGAUGAGAAACAUAAGAACAUCGGCACCUUAAAGUCCUCAGGUGAUGCACUGAAGCAGAAAGUGUCUGAUCUAUCGGCAAAAAGAGAAGCUCUACUAGCCGAACUCAAGCAAGUAGAGGACGCUCUGUCCCAAGCCCAGCAAGAAGAGAGUCAGCUGUCGGAGACCAUCAAGCACCUUGAACAAGAACGAAACGUCCAUGGUCGCAAAGCGCUGCAGCUGAAGAGGAAGCUGAAGCCGAUAGAAGGUUCUGCCGAUGAUGAUAUCAAAGAGAUAGAGACGGCCAAUCAGAUUCGGCUGCGCGCCAUAUCAGCAAUCCAAGCGCUGCUGAACAUCUGAAGCUUUCAUCGGCAACACACCUUUGUUUUUCCGCUUUUAGCUUUUAGUCUAGCCGAUAAGACUGUUAUCGGCAUCUUUUGAAACAUUAAGUCUGCCCCUGAACAUUUAAAUCCAGCCGAUAGGAGUGUUAUCGGCACUUAAACUUUUAUGCGUCGACCCAUAUGCUGGGGUAGUACUUCUUUAAAUAUUUGCCAUUUAAUGCUCUGGGAAAUUCAACUCCUUCGAGACUUUCUAGAAUAUAGGCAUUACCAGGAGCUGAGUGUCUUAUCCGAUAAGGACCUUCCCAAUUAGGAGACCACUUUCCAAACUUCGAACUUUUAGUCCCAACUGGCAAAAUCAACUUCCAUACCAAAUCCCCAUCGGCAAACUCCUUAGCCUUUACUUUUUUAUCAUACCAUCUAGCAACUCUCUUCUUAUUUUCUUCUAUACUCAUUAAAGCCUUUAACCGAUGCCCUGCUAAAUCAUCUAACUCAUCAGUCAUCAAAGUGGCAUAAUCAUCGGCAGCCAAUUGAUCUUGAAAAGAUAAUCGCCUAGAUCCAGCCUUAAUCUCCCAAGGCAACACUGCAUCAUGUCCAUACACCAAUUGAUAGGGUGACACCUUGGUUGAUCCAUGACAAGCCAUCCGAUAAGACCACAGUGCUUCAUUUAACAACGUAUGCCACCGCCUAGGAUUUUCUUCUACCAAAUCAUCGGCCGAUGUGAACCCCUGGCCUAAUUUUCCAUCAUCGGCGAAUCUAUCCAUUAAAAACCGUCGUCAGAACCGACUGCUUGGAUCGGUGGAAUCUCAUAAUCGGCAACUUUGAGAAAAUCUUUCUCCCAAACUUCUCCUGAAAUGCACCUAGUCCUUUCAUGAGUAUCCGCUUCUGCCGAUGCGAUAACAUAAGAAGAAUCCCCUGGGACAAUCUCAAUCUUGUCACCUACCCACUGAACCAAGCACUGAUGCAUUGUAGAUGGGACACAACAAUUGGCAUGAAUCCAAUCUCUCCCCAAUAAUAAAUUGUAGGCACCUUUUCCGCUGAUCACGAAAAAGGUUGUCGGCAAGGUUUUGCUGCCGAUGGUCAACUCUGCACAUAUCGCCCCCUUGACUGGAGACACGUUUCCCUCAAAGUCUUUGAGCAUCAUAUCGGUCUUGGUCAAAUCUGGAUCCCCUUUCCCAAGCUUCUGAUAUACUGCAUACGGCAUAAUAUUAAUAGCAGCUCCACCAUCAACUAGGAUCUUAGUCAUUGGCUGCCCAUCAACCCUUCCUUUGAGGAACAAAGCCAUAAGAUGCUGCCUCUCGUCAUCGGCAGGUUUCUCAAAGAUAGCCGUCAUCGGAUCCAGAGCCAACUGAGCUAUCUGAUCAGAAAAUUCCAACUCAUCGUCACUAGCUGGUGCAAGAAACUCCAUCGGCAACAUGAAGACCAUGUUGACGCCAGCCGAUGGACCUUCCCUCUUAGUGUCUGACGGCUACCGACUUCCAGAGUUCUCUCCUUUAUUUAGCUCUUCCUGCCUUUCACGUUGCAACCUCCUUUUCUGUGUCUUGGUUAAUCCUUGAGGGCACCAUGGAGGAAGUGGCCUUUGCCUCACCGUCGGGCGUUGGUUCUCUCUUGACUCCAUGCGAUGCGUGUUAGCAUCCCUGCAAAAUAUGAAUUCAUCGGGAACCCACGCAUCAGCCAUCCCUUCGAGCUCCUCUUGGUUCCGGGGAAAAUACCGGACACGGUCACUGAGCCGAUCGUGAACGCUAAGCCUGCCCCCCAGCCGAUCAUGAACUGACGCCCUUCCUCUGAUUGGCCCAUUAAAUCGCCGUUCACCAUCAUGAUAACGCCGAUCGGUUCUACCGUACCGAUCAUAACCGUUGCACUCAGGGCAGUCUCUGACAGUAGGAAGCUUGAUAUUUUCCUCCCAACAAUGGAUGAAGAAUGGACAAUUCCAAUGAUCCCUGUGCCGAUUCCACUCCUGUCGGCGUCUUUCUUCUUCCCGUCGAUAAUCUUCCUGCUGGCGCCGAUACCGAUCUUCCUGUUGUUGCCAAUUUCCUCGUGGCCUUCUAUGAGUUAUGACGACGCCAGAUCGAGGAAGCCUUCCUGAUCUAGCUCCUUCCUGGACCAAGCCCUUACUUCUUGCAUCGGCAGUAGUAACUUGAUGCUGAGGAUCUACCGAUGCACUCUUCUCAGCUGUUUCCGACGUUAAGACCUUGGCCUUCCCCUUAGCAUCCAACAUGUUUGUCGGGAAAGGAUGUUGGUCUAUCUUCAUCGGCUUCUGGGCUUUGGAACUGUCAAAUUUGAUUCUUCCUGACUCUAUAGCCGAUUGCAGCUGCUGUCUGAAUACUUUGCACUCGUUGGUGUCAUGGGAAGUUGCAUUAUGCCACUUGCAAUAUCUCAUCCUCUUCAACUCUUCUGCCGACGGGAUCACGUGGUUAGGUGACAGUUUGAUUUGACCUUCCUGAAGUAGAAAGUCAAAUAUCCUAUCGGCCUUGGCGGUGUCAAAGGCGAACUUCUCUGGUUCCUUCUGCCCAAAAGGACAAGACAUCGGCUUCUUGUUUUUUACCCACUCGGCCAAACCGAUUACUGGUUCCUCAUCGGAAUCUGAGCUUGUUGCUUCGUCAACAAAUGACACUUUCUUAUUCCAUGCCCUCUUAGGCUCGAAAGGCUUGAUGUCUUGAUCAGAUAUCCUCUGCACCAAAUGACUUAAACUUUCGAACUCCUGGGAGGCAUACUUAUCCCUGAUAUGUGGCAACAAACCUUGGAAAGCCAAAUCGGCUAGCUACCGAUCAUCCAGAACCAGGCUAUAGCAUUUAUUCUUGACCUCUCGUAUCCUCUGCACAAAUCCCUCAACCGACUCAUCAUUACGUUGCCUUAACUUGACCAAGUCGGUGAUCUUCUUCUCAUGAACCCCCGAGAAGAAGUAUCUGUGGAAUUGCUUCUCUAGAUCGGCCCAAGUAAUUACUGAGUUGGGAGGUAAUGAUAUGAACCAAGUAAAGGCCGAUCCAGACAAUGAUGAUGAAAAUAGACGAACCCUCAAUUCGUCCCUGUUACCAGCCUCUCCACAUUGAAUAAUGAACCUGUUGACAUGCUCCAUGGUUGACGUGUCGUCCUGUCCGGAAAACUUUGUAAAAUCCGGUACCUUGUACCGAUGUGGAAGCGGGAUCAAAUCAUACGCUGGAGGAUACGGUGUCCGAUAAGAAUAAGUGUUGACUUUGGGUUUUAUCCCAAUUUGUUCCCUCAUUACUUCAGCAAUCUUAUCGGCCCAAUACGCAUCGGCAUCUUGCCGAUGAGGCGGCUGCGGUUCUGGCACUUGGUGGCGAACCUCCACGUGUCUGUUUGGGACGUGACCUGCAUGGAACAUUGUAUUGGUCCCCUGUCCUCCAAUCUGCGGACUACCAAACUGCUGUCCACCGAUUGGCUGUCCUCCGAGUUGCUGCCCAAAAUUUAUUGGGUGGUUGGGAAUCCCCUGACCUUGGAACCCGGGAUAAACCUGCCCUUGCUGGAACCCCGUAGUCUGAUAACCUUGCUGGGGCGACUGUGGAAAGGCUUGCUGUCCAAGCCAUCCAUUAUUAGCGUUCAUCGGCAUAGGUGCUGCCGAUGAUUGGUAAUUGGGUACCGUCGUUGAAUUGACAUACCCCGACUGGGCCAUAGGCCUCUGUUGCAUCAGCAUUGACUCUGCCGAUGCGUUGGGCAUCUGGAACAUUGAAUCUUGAGGAUUUCCAGUGUGAGGCCUUGCAGUAGUAGUUGUGGUAUACCGAGGACUCUGGUUCACCGGCACAUUGGAAGGCGCCGAUGUCAUAGGAGUUUUGCCCCUCAUGUCAGUUAUCUGUGAUGUUCCCGGCGUCAACUCUGGAGGCAUACCAUAACCCCACCAGUUAGGAGGAAGAUUUAACCCUGACAUUGCCGAUGCCAACAUAUCUGUUGUCAGUUUAUGCUGCCCAACUGAAAUUUGUGGGUUGGUUGCCAUCGGCAUAGAUAGUGCACCAGUAGUCCCCAAUGUACUUGGAGGGACGGCAGACUGUGCACUUACAUUCGUCAAGGCAGCCGAUGGAGCCGUGACCUCUGGUGCCGUUGGCUGAUGAUGGGAGGGCCCCACAUAAUCUGGCGGGAUUUGUCCUUCCUUGAAUGUUCUUGCCACGGCGUUGAAAACCGUAUCAGACAGUACGCCAGCUUGGUUAAUCAACGCUCGAUUGAUGGCAUUGUCUACCAUAUCUUGAAGCUUGCCAGGGUUGGCGUCGAAGGUGACCUGCCGUGGUGCCGGCAGUGCAUCUUUCUGGACCACUUCGCCGCUCCUGUUUAUGCUGAAAGACUUCAGGCACUGCUGCUUGAACUCUUCCAUGGCUUGGGCAAUAGCUUGCUUUUGCUCAUCCUUGAGGUUGGCCUCCGUCACAGGGAUGACGUUCUCUUGAUCGAGGUCGGAGAUCGACAUGUUGAUCUUGAUCUUGAAUCAGUCCCACUGGGCGUGCCAAAAGAUGUGUUGAUGCAAAACUGAUCUGCAAACACAAAGGGCUAAUACCCGAUUCAAACGUUAAGGCGUGCCAGCCGAUUUGACCUUGCUAUCGGCAAAGGUGAUAACUCGAAUACUUUAGUCCUGACAACAGCGAUGCGCCCGGGUGUCACGGCUAAGAGGUACUCACGCGGAACUCGAGAACACGCCGAGCUUAAGUCGACGAAUUCCUAAGAACUCGUAAUAAAAAGGAAAAAGUAUGACGAAGUCGUCGAAAAAGUAGAUGCUGGAAUAUGAGUAAAAACGUGUGUUUGAUUGAUUUCUUGAUAUAUUGAUUACAAGGUCCUAGGGUUUAUAUUUAUACCCUGCUCAAAGAGCUACAACCAGACACGAUUAGAAUUCGAAUUCCAAAUUACACGGAAUCCGUAUACAAAACGAUGAAAAUAACUAAGGAAAUAAUAAAACUAUCCUUCGUGAUAACCCGAAACUCCUCCAGAUGACAACUGGCAGCUUCCGGACUCCUCCUUCGCGUAAUCGGCAAUCCCCUUGCCAUAGUCAUCGGCAGAUCUUUUUACCCAGCCAUCGGCACCAUAUUACUGCCUGUGGACUUAAUCACAUUCAACUUCUCCCUCAUCGGCAACCAUCCUCAUCAACAACCCGCAUUGUACUGCCACCCUAUCCUGCCAUCCUGGACACGUGCCCAAAAACGGUGUCAACAUUAGUUCUAGUUGUAAUCUAGAAAAUAGGGACAGAGAAGAGGAGAGCGGAGGAGGAGCCGAAUCUGUCGGAUCUUCCUCAACAUUGUACUUUUGCAGCAACUGGUUCGUUCUGAAUCGUUCUCCAAGUUCUUCAAUUCAUAAUUCAUGAGUUAUUUAAUUACUUUUAUUUACAUUCAAGUUAUUUAUUGGAUUUCCGCUUGCAUCAAGUGCUCUAGUCUUUAUAACGCUAGAGUUGUAAUUAAUAGAUUAGAUGUAGUGUUUAGUCUUGCAAUUACCUGUAAUUGCACCCAAUCCUACGGAUUGUUGUGGUAGCCCUAGGGUAGUGACAGCCCUAACGGUCGAUGUAUUCCACCUCGUUCGGAUUGGUAGGACCGUAGUCAGAGCUUCCUAGCCCCCUUCUCAUCUCUUUAUGUGGAUAGUGUUCUGAUGUCCUAGAAUAAAUAAUCUUUGUAGUAAUUCUUGAUUCUUAGAUCAACUAGAGAACUCUCAGGAAACUUCCUCCCUUCCCACCAAAAAUAAUUAUAUAGUUAUCCUUGGGCGAUCUUGAAUCUUAAUUAGUACACUCACGUUCCCUGUGGAAAAUCGAUACUCUGGAAUACUCUCGGGUCAAAGCUACAUCGGUAUCCGUGUGCUUGCGGAUUUUUCUGUUUGCGUUUAAAAUACCCAACAUCCUCAUCGGUCGAGCCUUAUACUAGUUUCAGCUUCUUCUUCAUCUGUAGCGCCUUGUGUCGACGAAAGCUAGUCGGCAGUCUACCUUGGGGUAUACCCACGGUAGUAGUUUAUCGGUAGACGGUGCGCAAGCUAUGAACUUGACGGUGACACAAGAUACGGACAAGGUUUUUAUCCAGGUUCGGCCGCCGUGUGGGCGUAAUACCUACAUCCUGCGUCUGAUUGUAUUGAUGUGGAUUGUGUUGAGAUAUUGUGUCCUAGGGGGGUCCCUUGCCCCUCCUUAUAUAGUCCAGAGGGCAGGGUUACAAAUCUAGAAACUAAUCCUAGUCGGUUACAAUUGCCAUAGAUAGCACAAUAUGAAUUCCUAUUCUAACCGACUAGAAUCCGGCUUGAUCUCCACGUCUUGUUUCCUUGCGCAAAACUUCGAGCAGUUGGAUCAAGCCUCAGACUGUCUUCGUGAUGGGCCAAACCUCCCGGCCCAAGUCUAGCCGUAACGGUAUAGGGGUUUAUACUCCCACAGCUAGUCCCCGAGCACCGUGCAUUGUGAUGUAACAUGCCGUCUUGAGCUUCUUCGACAAGUGAGGCUUGGCGUCUUUGAUAAGCAAGGAAGUCGCCUGAACAGUUGCAACAGUAUUUUAACCAACUCAAAAGACAGUUGAUCAACAUUGUCAUCGAAGAAGCAGGUUGUUCGAAGAAUGCAUGGUGCUCUUAAUCAAAAAAGAUUUUUUCCUAGUGAAGUGUGCCCACUUUACUUUUCUGAAAAGUAUAGACCUUAAAAAAGCAAGCAUAUUCACCGCAAGGUGAAGUGUGCCCACUUAGUCCCCAAGCCUGGUAGUAGGUGACGUAGGCACGUGGUGCCAGGGUCAAAAAAAGUCUUCAUAGAAAUUCUAAAACUGAGAUGCAUCGCCAGAUGUAUCGCACCGAUGUAGUCCCCGAGCUUGCUUGAAGGCGAAGCAAGAGCCUUGUAGCAAGGUCUAAAAAAUUAAAAUUAUCUCGUCCAGUCCCCAAGCUAUGGUUGGAGAGUAAUCAAAGCAAGUUUCCGAGCACAAGACUAGGAUUGAUUGAUGAAUCUCCGAGCACAAUCGGCAGUCAGUACAGUCCCCGAGCACAGCAUGUAGACUAACCAGGCAGUCCCCGAGCGUGGUUGGAAACGUAAACGUGCUCAGUGGUUGGCAUAUAUGAAUGGUUGUAAAACGAGUGUGCUAGUCGGUCAGUCCCCGAGCGUACCACACUCGGUGGUCGGUACAAGCGAUGAAGAUGCCAGGAGAGCAGACUAGUCAACCAGUCCCCAAGCAUGUGAUGCUCAGUGGUCGAUGCAGUCAAUCGAAAUGUCAAGAGAGAAGACUAGUCGACCAGUCCCCGAGUUUGUGAUGCUCGGUGGUCGGUCCAGUCAAUCGAAAUGUCAAAUGAGCAGACUAGUCGACCAGUCCCCGAGUUUGUGAUGCUCGGUGGUCGGUGCAGUCCAUCAAAUAUGUCACGUCCGUUCCACCAACAGCCCCACUUCUCUUUUUUGAAAAUAACAUAUCGCCGUAUUAAUGUGUGAUGGGCAGAGCGCCCUGGCACAUUGUCAGGCUGUUGCGUAAAAAGGUGCGCCUGGUAACUGUGCAGCCGCUCUUUGUGCGGCCCAAGAAAAAGAAACCAUCAAUUACGUGGAAAAGUCAUCGUAUUAACUGUGAUAAAUAUUCAAAACCGAAGCGUCGCAGCCACCGCAAGAUCCGCCCACUUCCCCAUAACACGGGAAGUGGUAGAGGUGGAGCUGCUAUUAUAAAAGGCUCAAUGCGGCAUCCAUAUUCUUUACCCAGCCUUUGCCUACAAACCUGCUAUCCUUGCCAUUGCUGCCUCCUGCGACUGCCAUCUUUAACUUCCAGCUCAAAGUUCUUUCUGCAACGUCAAUGGCGAAGAGCGACUCGAAGAAAAGGGCCGAGUUGAUGACCAAGGAGUGGAACAAAUCCUCGAGCAGCACAAGGUCCCUCAACGACCUCGUUGGAAUGGGUCUGCUACAUAACCAGGAGCUCGGCAGCUGGAGGCCGCCAGAGGGGGAGAGCUACCCCAACCCUCGCGCCGGUGAGAUUGUUGUUUUUGAGGAUUUCUUCAAGAGGGGCUUUGGGAUUCCUGUCCAUCCUUUUCUCUAGGGCCUUCUUCUUUACUACGAGAUCGGGAUCUGCAACCUGCACCCGAACUCCAUUCUCCUCAUUUCUACCUUUAUCCACCUGUGCCAUGCCUAUGUUGGAAUAGAGCCGCACUUCGACCUCUUCCGUUAUCUUUUCUGUUUGCGGAAGAAAGGAGCAGUUGGCAGCUCCAAUAUUACAGGUGAAGUAUACCUCCAUCUGCGUGACGGGAUGAAUAACCGAUACCUCAGCUGCCCAUGGAAAACUUCCCUCACCGAAUGGUACAAGAACUGGUUCUACAUCAGGGAGGAGCCGGGCAGCGCCACGUUCUGCGACGUGGGCUACAUCCCCGAGAAGAGGGUCAGCUGGACAGAUCGUCCAGAGUACGAUGGCCAAGUGGCAGAGCUGAUGAGCCCGAUCGACUGGUCCCGCUUAGACGUGCCAGGAGUGGUCGGUAACUUCCAUGUGCGAUGGGUGAUGCCCUGCCAGAGGAGGGUGCAUUCGGCGUAUGAGUACGCGCGGAGCCAAGACCCGACCAGGAUGUGCCCGGGUGGUCUGGAGAAAACGGAGGUCCACCAGUUGAUGAACGAGUUGUUCAACUUGUCUAAUGACAAUUUCAUUCGAAGCGAUGAUCGGAUGCACGCCUUCAAGCUAGGACGACCAGCUCCUAAGGUAAACGGGUACUGUUAUCGAUAUGUAUCGUCAUGUGAAUACUUGUUGUUUCUUGGUUGAUGACUUGUCGUUGGUUCUGCUGCAGAUUGGAGACAUUGACGGGUGCUCAGUGUAUAUAUCACUGGCACCUGGUAUGGAACAGCCUGCUAGGGUGGACCCGGCAGUAGACGAUGCUGCUCGGUGUACCCAAUACACCAGUAGCGAAGAAGAGCAGAACCGACCGGCACCGACCACCGAGGAUAGGGUGGCGGGGAAGAGGCCAAUGGCCGUAGAGCCAUACCCUUCGGAGGCAUUGCCGGCGGAGACCAGCCAGGCUUCGAAGCGUCGUUGGCUCCUGAGGAUCACUGACGACGAGACGAAGAGGAGGAGGCUGCACCAUCUCUAGUCCGGAGACCGCGCAGUCGGCCUGACGUUGCGCCGGCCGCCGCUGGUCAGGAGACCAGUGAUCCUCCGGCCCCGCACACCGAGCCGACGCAACGUGGGGGGUAGAGGCAAUAGCGGCGACUGGUAGGGCCAGGAGGAGGUUCUUCGCCGCGACGCACAGGCGCUCCGACCUGUGAGUUCUACAACUCGUCUUCUGCACUUCCUCCUUGUUGUUUUUGUUUUUUUUUUGUUGUGGGUUUGUAACGUUGCCGCAAUAUCUUCUUUUGCUAGUGCGGCAUCAGAUGUUGAUCCGGGCAACGUCGCCGGCCAAAGAACGGCCGAGGCCGGCGGUUGUUGUUGAAAACGCCAACGAGCAGACCACCCAGGAGCCAACCGAGGAGCAGCCCACGGUAGUGAUUGCGGCGGAGACUGCCGAGGAGGGCCCGGCUCAAGCGAAGACCGGGGCGAGCAUGCCGACAAGGGAUGAUGAGGCUGCAAGGACGCCUCCCCUGAGCAGUGUCAUGGAUGAGGGAGACAGAGCCCCGACUCCCCCACCUGCUGAAGAAAGGAAGGCCCCAACUCCACCCCAGGCAGAGACUUCUUCGCCAAAGGGCUCCUCUGGUCGGGAUAAGGGUCCUGUGAUACCUAUUACCACGGCUGGGGGUAGUACAGAGGGCGAGGAGGCCCAGGCGACCUCCGACAACGAGGUGGAGGAGAUCCAGGGGCGCCCCCAAGAUGGUCGCCAGCACGUUCUCGUGUGGCGCCAAUGUAGGGACCACUUCAUCGGUCAUGAAGAGCUUGCCGAGACCGAGGAGGCGGCCAGAGUAGAGCGCGCUGCCAAACGGCUCAUCGAAGAAGUCAAGGUAUGUAUUCUCGUGUUCUGCCCAAAAUGUGUAUGUAGUGUUGUUUGUUUCACAAUACGUGUAAUUCCUGCAGGGCGCAAUGAAAACGGCGAAGUACCAAAGGAGGUGCUUCGACCAAAUUGAAGGGGUCGUGGCCGAGAAUAAGGCCCUGAUCACAGAAGUGGACCACCUUCGGUCAGAAGCCGAAGAGAAGGCGGCCGAGAAGGUGGCUCAGUAAGAGCGCCUGCUCGAUCUUAACCAGCGACUAGCCGAGAAGGAUCAGGAGAAGAAAUGUAAGUCAUGCGCUCCGAGCAGCUAUAAUUUAACUGCGUGGUCUGUUUUGUUGACCAGCUAUUUCUUUCUGCAGAUCUCGAGGAGGAGAUUGAGCGCCUCCGAGCCGAAAGUGAGCGACUCGACCAGGAGCGCGCCGGCGCACUGGAGGCCGGGCGCAAGGCUGGUGAGGAGCUGAGGAACAAGAGUCAAGAAUUGGCUGGUAAGGGCCGUUUCGCCCUUUGUUGACUACGCAAUGUUCCUCUUUUCAUGUUUGUACUGACUUCUGGCUUGGUUCUCUUUGUAAAUUUUAUCAUAGUGCUUAAAGUUAACACCAAGAAGCACCUCGACGAGCUGGUCAAGGACCUAGACUCCUGGAAGACCAAUUGUAUCAAGAUCUGGAAAGGAGUAGCCCCGGUGCUCGACUUGAUUAGCCCCGAGCUCCCCGAAGACCAGCCCCACGCACCGAGGCUGACUCCGGUCGAGAAGGCGCAGCAAGCGUGGGGUUGGUUGCAGCAGUUCGUAAAGGACACCGGAGAGUUCGCCGGAGCGCACGUCCUCAGCAUGGUACAUGCCCACUACCCUCUAGUUGAUCUGUCCCGGCUGGAGAGGGGGUAUCCCAAGGAGGUUGGUCCGUAGGAGGCAGAUGACCUUCGUGUCGGCCUGCUCGACCUGUCGUCGACAGUGAUCGGUGACAUAAACCUCUGUGGGAUGUCAACUCCCCUCAACCAACCCGGAUCAGACAGGUCAGCCAGGGAGUUGUCGGGGGCGUCCAUUGCAGGAGAUGAGCGGUCGACGCCUGCGGUCUCGACCAGCCAGAUGCCGGUGGCCCCGACCCCUUCGACUUGACAGCAGGACCGUGCGGGUGAUCAGCCCGAGCAGUAGGCCUAUAAAGUAGUCUGUAGGAGUAGACUAGAGACCGCCCAAAGAGGUGUUUAUUGUAAACUUUGUCUAUAAAGUUUGUAAUAAACCUUAAUUUAUCAUAACCAUGGUUUUGAGCGCUGUAACAUUGUUAGAGUGAUGCGUCACUGUGUCGAGUUGACGACCUUUGUCCUUGAUAGUAGUUGUAGCACUUGUCGAAUGCUCUGCGUAUGAAAAAAUGUACACAACAAGAAAGACAAGUUUUAUUAUUACUCAUUGUAAAAGAUUUACAAAUGAAGUGUACUGGGGCUUAGGGAUAAGAACGGCGCAGUUUGUCUAUGUGCCAGGAGUUGGGCAAGCGUGUUCCGUCUGGGUACACCAGUCUAUAAGAUGUAGGGCGUGUAACUUCGGCGACCACGAAGGGUCCUUCCCACGAUGUAGAUAACUUGUGCAUUCCUUCCUAGUUUGUUUUCCAUUUGAGUACCAGAUCACCGACCACGAAGGAGCGACCUUUGACGUUCCUGUUGUGGUACCGCCUGAUAGCUUCGAGAUACCUCAUUGUUCGAAGGCACGAGAUUAGGCGCUUUUCUUCUGUGCAAUUGAUUUCAAGCUCACUGGCGAGGUCGGGCGAAGGCUGGUUGAAAUGUUCAACUCUUAGAGAUCCGAAGACCACAUCCGAAGGGAGCACUGCCUCGGUGCCGUAAACCAUGAAGUAGGGUGAUACACCCGUGUUUUGACUAGUCUGUGUUCGAAGACCCCAGACCACAGCCGGUAACUCUUUCAUCCAUCGUCCUGGUGCUCUGUCGUUUUCAGUAUACAGCCUUUUCUUCAGAGCAUCGAUAAUCAUUCCGUUUGCUCGCUCCACUUGACCGUUGGCCCGCGGGUGGGCUACCGACACGUACUUUAUGACUAUGCCUCUAUCAUCACAGAAGUCCCAGAAUGUAGUGCCGGUGAACUGGGUGCCUAGGUCCGUAAUUAUGCUGUUAGGAACUCCGAAUCUGUGUAUGAUUUGAUCGAGGAACUCCACAGCCUUCUCGUAAGUUGCUUUGACCAGUGGCAUGUACUCGAUCCAUUUUGAGAAUUUGUCGAUUAGCACGAACACAAAUUUGAAGUUGCCGGGGGCCGGCUUGAAUGGCCCGAUCAUGUCGAGGCCCCAACAAGCGAACGGCCAAGAUGACAGAAUCGUUUGUAUCUCGUGAGUAGGUACGUGGGUCCGCUUGGCGAAGAACCGGCAUCCUUCACAAUGCUUGACUAGUUUCUCGGUGUCGGUAACUGCUAUUGGCCAGUAAAAACCUGCUCGGAAAGCUUUCCCGGCCAGUGUUCUGGAGGCGGCAUGGUUACCACAGGACCCGGCGUGUAUGUCGUUCAGUAGCUUGAUGCCAUCGUCCUAGGAUAUGCACUUCAGCAAUACUUCUGAGCUUACGUUCUUACGCAUAAGUUUGCCUUCGACCAGUAUCUAAUUCUUAGACCGCCGCAUAAGGCGCUCGUUUUCCGUUUUAUCUUGGAAUCCCAAACCGUCCGAUAAGUACUUGAUGAAGGGAGUGCGCCAGUCGUGACUGCUGGUUGUCGGAGUAGUAUCGUCUAUGAGCAUAGCCUCAUUGGGUGGCUUGUCGACCAGGUCUGUGUCGAUGCUUGGGGUGUGAAUAUCUUGGACGAAAACACCUUGCGGGAUCUAGGCCCGAGAUGAUCCUAUCUUCGACAACACAUCUGCUGCCUGAUUCCUGUCCCGGACGACGUGGAUGUAUUCGAUGUCGUAAAAAUUGGAUUCCCAUUUCCAAAUUUCUUUGCAAUAGAGGUCCAUCUUCUCGUGAGUUGUGUCCCAUUCCUUAUUUAACUGGUUGAUGACCAGGGCGGAGUCGCCGUGGAUGUAAAGACGUUUGACUCCCAGUUCGAUAGCCAGUCGGAUGCCAUGCAAGGAUGCUUCGUAUUCGGCGACGUUGUUAGAUACCGGGAAGAGAAUCCUAAGGACAUAGCGGAGUUUGUCCUUGUUUAGUGACACAAAAAGUAUCCCGUCGCCGGCGCCAUUGAUGUUUAGGGACCCGUCGAAGAACAUUAACGAGUGGUCGGAGGUAUCGGGAGGGGGGGCUCAUUGAGGUCCGUCCACUCCGCAAUUAUGUCGACCAGGGCCUGGGACUUGACGGUAGUGCGACUCUGGAAAUCCAGGGAGAAUGGGCAUAAUUCCAUUGCCCAUUUUAUAAUUCUGUCGUUGGCGUCCUUGUUGCGUAAAAUGUCCCCCAGAUGAAAACUUGUAGUUACUAAGACCCGAUGGCCGUCGAAGUAGUGCUUCAGCUUCCUUGAGGUUAUCAGGAUGGCGUAGAUUAACUUUUGUAUCUGAGGAUACCAGGUCUUGGAUUCGUCUAGGACUUCGCUUAUGAAGUAAACAGGCCUCUAGACUUUGUAGAUGUGGCCAGGUUCGUCCCGCUCGACCACCAUUGCCGUGGAGACAACUCGAUCGGUUGCUGCUAUGUAAAGGAGCAGGUCCUCAUUAGGUUGAGGUGCUGUGAGGACGGGUGGUGAGGUGAGGAAAGUUUUGAGCUAGGUGAACGCAGCGUUAGCUUCCUCUGUCCGGGAGAAUUUUUCCGACGGCUUUAGAAGUUUGAAGAAAGGGAAGGCCUUUUUCUCCAAACCUAGAGAUAAACCGGCUGAGAGCGGCCAUACAUCCGGUGAGCUUUUGAAUAUCCUUGACAUUCUUGGGUGGUCGCAUAUCGAGCACCGACUUGAAUUUUGAAGGAUUUGGUCGUAUGCCGUCGUGGCUGACGACGUUGCUGAGUAGUAGACCAGAGGGGACCACAAAGAUACAAUUUUUGGGGUUAAGCUUCCACUUGUAUUUAUUCAGUGCCUUAAAAGUUUGGUCCAGAUUGUCGAUCAGAGUGCUCGCGUGCCUUGUUUUGAUGACGACGUCAUCGAUGUAGGCCUCGAUGAGGUCAUCACGGAUCUCGUCGUGGAGGCAUUGCUGAAUGACUCGUUGAUAAGUGGCUCCAGUAUUUUUGAGUCCGAAGGACAUGGUGGUGUAGCAAUAUGCACCAAAAGGAGUAAUAAAAGUUGUUUUGAUCUGGUCGUCUUCCUUUAGUGAAAUCUGGUGGUAACCAGAGUAACAGUCUAGAAAAGAGAGGAGUUCGCAUCCGGCCGUUGAGUCGACCACCUCGUCGAUACAAGGGAGACCGAAAGGAUCUUUAGGACAGUGUUUAUUGAGAUCAGUGUAAUCAACGCACAUUCUCCAUUCAUUAUUCUUUUUCCUUACAAGAACCGGAUUGGCGAGCCAAUUAGGAUGAUACACUUCUUUAAUGAAUCCGGCUGCUAGAAGCCGUGUUAUUUCUGUCCUUAUAGCCUCUUUUUUGUCACGAGCGAACCGUCAUAGUUUCUGCUUGAUGGGUCUUGCGGUCAACGAGACGUUUAAGGAGUGAUCGAUCAGGUUUCGUUGGACGCCGAGCAUGUCUGCGGGUUUCCAUGCGAAAACGCUUACGUUGUCCCUUAGAAACCUGACGAGCGCGUCUUCCUAUUUAGGAUCCAGGUUGGCCCCGAUGAGAGCCAUCUUCUCGGGGCUGCCGUCGACCAGCUGUACCUCCUUGUGCUCUUUGGUCUUUGAGUUUUUCCUCGGAGUCUCCUGCUCGGGUAGCUGGAGCUGGUCGGGUGAAACUUGCGUGGCUUGGGCUAUAGUUUCUACCAUGCGAAUCGAGAGAUCGAUUGCCUCAGUGAUCUUGAAGCUUUCCUCCUCGCAAGUGUAUGCGGUGUAGACGUUGCCUCUGACAGUUAGGACACCCUUCUCUGUUGUCAUCUUGAGGACCAGGUAUGAGUAGUGUGGAACUGCCAUGAACUUGCUGAGCGAUGGUCGGCCUAGAAUUGCAUGAUAGGUGCCAUCGAAGUCGGCGACCACAAAGUUGACGAACUCUGUGCGGAAGUGGUCCGGUGUUCCAAACUAGACGGGCAGCGUUAUCUGCCCGUGGGGUACUGAACUUUGGCCUGGUAGGAUGCCCCAAAACUGAGCAUCGUACGACUUUAGUUGCGCUGGGGUUAGCCUGAGGGCAGGGAAGCUGUUGCGGAAAAGAAUGUCAAUGGAGCUGCCCCCUGUUGACGGUCCUUAAUGCUCACAUUUAAUAGUCAACUAAUCAUAGCAAAGAAUCCAAAUGAAACCAACACCUAGACUUAGGGUUAUAUCUGACAGAAUUCAAUUAAGUUUUGGUGUUUGUCUUUUUCUACAGGGGGUUAUCAGGAAAUACGGAAGAAAGGCCCACACGUCGGGUUUACAUAGAGAUAUUAACGUGCCGCGCAAUUUUCUACCAUCUAGAAGACUAUAGAAGCCACGAGAACGAACGAGAAGGCAAUCGGGCUCGGAGACAGGGCGCCCGCCCUACUCUCCUAGGCGCCCGCCAACCUUUUGUGUCCAAUCCAGACCCGUUUCGCGGAUUAUGCUCCACCGACCUAAAGGAGCAAGGAAAACAGUGCGAUUAAUGUCAGUUUGAUCCGACGGCCCAGAUUCAUCUGAAAAGACUAUAUAAGCAAGGCCCCUGGCCCCUGGAGAUCAUACCUCUUCUACACAAUCAAAGUUAGGGUUUCAAUUCUUUAUCCAAGUAGAGAGGAUCCCUCUAGUUCAUCUAGUUCUAGUUCUAGUUCAUCUAGUUCUAGUUUUAGUUAGUUCUAGUUGUAAUCUAGAAAAUAUGGAGAGAGAAGAGGAGAGCGGAGGAGAAGCCGGAUCUGUCGGAUCUUCCUCAACAUUAUUCUUUUACAGCAACUGGUUCGUUCUUCAUCGUUCUACAAGUUCUUCAAUUCAUAAUUCCUGAGUUAUUUAAUUACUUUUAUUUACAUUCAAGUUAUUUAUUGGAUUCCCGCUUGCAUCAAGUGCUCUAGUCAUUAUAACGCUAGAGUAGUGAUUAAUAGAUUAGACGUGGUGUUUAGUCUUGCAAUUACCUUGAAUUGCAUCCAAUCCUACGGAUUGUUGUGGUAGCCCUAGGGUAGUGACAGCCCUAACGGUCGACGUAUUCCACCUCGUUCGGAUCAGUGUUUGUAGGACUGUAGUCAGAGCUUCCUAGCCCCCUUCUCAUCUCUUUCUGUGGUUAGUGUUCUGAUGUCCCGAAAUAGAUAAUCUUGAAGUAAUUCUUGAUUCUUAGAUCAACUAGAGAACUCUCAGGAAACUUCCUCUCUUUCUACCAAAAAUAAUUAUAUAUUUAUCCUUGGGUGAUCUUGAAUCUUAAUUAGUACACUCACAUUCCCUGUGGAAAGUCGAUAAUCUGGAAUACUCCUAGGUGAAGGCUACAUCGGUAUCCGUGCGCUUGCGGAUUUUUUCUCUUUGCGUUUAAAAUACGCAACAAGCUUUCUAGCGCCGUUGCCGAGGAACGGUAGCUGUGCUAGUUUCGAACCAAGUCGUCCGUGUAUCAUUUUUUUCCUUUUUUACCACACUCACCUUAUCAUUUUCAUCAUACCACAUGGAUUUCACUCUAAGCAUUAAUGAGCAUGAAAUUUAUUUUAUAGCCACUUCAUUUACUACAUGCUCAUAUGCAACAUCUUCCCAAUCCAUUGGUUUUUCCAACAUCACCACAUUCGAGAUCUCCAACCCCUUCUUCCUUUCUAUUUAUAAAAACAUUAAAAGGGCGGUUGUUGAUGCAUAUGUCUAUAAUAAAUUUUACAGAUCUCGUUGAGUUGAUCUUGAUAUAGGUCAGCGUUGGAGGGGAAAUCGCUUCGCCGAUAUAAAUUGAUGGUUUCCCAAGGACAAGCUUAGUGUCCUAAAAUAUGCACUAAUCAAAUCAUAACAUGAGCUUUUAAUUAUUUGCAACAUUACCUUGUGAGUUGAGCAUAUAAGGAUAAUUGUAAAAAUAUCCCUUCGGGUAUUCUUGUCACUAACCGUUCCAGGAUUGGAGCAAGAAGGGAUGAAUGACAAGCACAAGGUAUGUCCAACCAAUCAUCAUACAACAUUGAAUUAAAUGCAUCCAAACUUGAAUUUUGCAAAAUUCAAGCUUGGGGGAGUACUUUACAUAAAAACAUCAUUUGCCAUGUUGCUAUGUUGGUUGUCCCUACCUUUGAGACAUGCUAAAUUUGUUAAAUACUAAUAACACUAUUUCAUCUCCACUUGAGUAGAUCUCUAUAAAUGCUCUCAUGCUACCUUUAUUUGCUUUAGUAUAUGUCUAGGUUUGGAGUAGUUUCAUUUAUCUCUUAAUUAAGCAUGGUGCUUAGUUUAGGGCUGAUGAUCUUACUUCCAAGGGAGUUUAAAUUAAGCAUGAUGCUUAGGUUAAAAUACCCUCCUAAAUCAAAUUAGACAUGGUGUCUAGGUUGAUUUUUGAGCCGAUAGUAUGCUAUAGUAGAUAUGGGAUAUUUUGUUGGACUAACCCCAACAGGAAAACUUUCAAUAUCGAUUUGGGAAGUCCUGAGAUAAACUCACAUCGGAGACAAAGAGAGAGACACAUGAAGUUUAACAAUUUACACAAGGAAGGCAUAGCUCACAAGAGAUGAUCCAUGGACGGUGCCACAAACACGAUGCACAACCGCUAAGAAAGGAAAGCUUCCAUAAGGUGAUACUGUACCAUCACUCUUCAAGUAAGGUAACAUCUUAAGGUACUUAACUAUCACUUUUAUAAGCUUCUCCUUGGUUCUGGCGUUCACAUGAAUAAAAGAGACAAACAUGUGUGAUUUACAACUCUAGAUUAACCAACCCAAUCGAUUCAAUAUGUUUAGUCCUUCCACCUUUGUGAUCCCACACUCCUAAUCAUAUGAGCUAAAAUGUUGCACAUUCAAUCUUUGGGAAGAUAUAAAAAAAGACAUAUACAUAGAUAAAUUAUCUUUCCAUAAGGUUGAGCGAUCUGAUCUGACAAAUGUUUUAAAUGCUACACUCAUGAUCUUAUUAUCCAUCAACUUUGUCUUGCUCACUAUGCUUAAGGUUAGAGAAGAACAAAUACACUUUUGGUUCUGUUGGUGUUUUCCACCAACAGGGCCCAUGCACUUGAUCUCUGCCUUGUCUCUAUGAGCAGGUACACGUCGAGCAAAAUAUGAAGGACUUUUACAACUCCCAGACUCAACCAAGUGAAGAACCUAGAUCUACGAGCACAAACACACUGGAGAUACUGGACACUUAGGCAAUCACUGCCCUAAAAUGCUUCGGGACGUAACUAUUGGAGUAACCCUAUUGUGGAAGUAAUUACUGACCUUCUGCCGGUCAAGAGAGACAAUCCAGGACGCCCCGUCAUCGCGAUCUCCAUCGGCAUGGUGGACUUCCUAGAAGCACUCUGCGACUUUGGCUCCAGCGUCAACAUUAUGCCCAGGGUACUCUCUGAAAAAUUCUUUACACAUCCUUUACUAGAAACAACCAUGUGUUUGCAGCCUGCAGAUUGGACACUAAGUUCCCCAAAGGGAAUAUUGAAGAACCUCUGCGUCCGAGUUGGUACCUUGUACGCCCCAGCAGACUUCAUGGUGAUAGAGACUGGUACUGAUGAGAAGGCACCCAUCAUCCUAGGGAGGCCAUUCCUGAACACCUCAGGAGCUGUCAUCUACGCUAGUGCUGCCAAGAUCAGUUUCUACAUCAAGAGGAGGAAGGAGACGUUUUCCUUCAAGAACAAGACUACACAAAUCUCAGAGCAAUCCCGACAUGAACCAAGGAAGAGGACCAACAGGAGGAAUGGGAACAAGCAAAUGUGGACCAAGUCAGCUAAGAUGGUCACUGCAGUUUAAGGAGGUCAAGACCGUUGACUUAAGUCACCGUUCCUGACCAAAAAGGAUGACCCAGAUUUUCAGGUUAUUGACAUGGGAGAAGACGAGUACAAUCCACCCAUCAUCCUUGGAAGACCGUUCCUCAGCACCGUUAAAGAAAUCAUUUACAUUGGAAUCAGAGAAGUCCACAUGCACUUCCCUUCUAAGAAGGUACGUCGCUAUUUUACUGACCCUAACUAUAUAGUUGAAGACUCUAAGCAGGUCAGGACAAGAAGAAGACGACGCAACCGCAAUUAGAGAAGGCAAAUCAUCAAGGACGGAUGGGCAGACUAUGAAGGAAGAGUAGUAAGGUCUGAAGACAUACAGCUUGAACAGAACUGUUCUAAGGAGACCGUAGCACCGAGUCAGGUGUGGAGAGAGAAGAUAGUUAUACAUGAGGAGGAGGCGCCGCCGGAACCACCGACUACGCCAUCCAGCGAAUCCCAGGACAACUGAGAAGACGGAGAGUCCCAUUCGGAGGACUUAAAAACACUGAACGCCUUGCCAAGAUGUAAACUUGGUAGUUAUCCUUUUCCCUUCAAUUAUUUAUUUUCCUUAAAUAGUGUGCUUAGUUAAUCAAGUUCAUAUCAUCUUGAAAAGAAAAUAAAAAUGUUAAAAAUAGUAAGCCCCAUGUGAGUAUGCUCAUGGCAUAAAACCCAUAAGUACAUUCACUGUGGUGGCGUAAAAAUGAAAUAAAUAUAUUUCUGUCCUAUAAAAACGAAAAUAUAAAAAUAAAUUUAUGAUCCUACCAAAGAGUGUAACAUUCAUUGAGGAGGCUCAACAUGAUAAUGGCUAGAUAUUUAUGCUAACACUUAACUAGUUCCACAAAGCUUUGUUGUCUGUUUGAGCUCCACAGAAUUCAAGGAUCAAAGAGACUAGCAGACGGAGGACAUCCUAAUCGCAAUCAGGGUGCUGCCGACAUUCAAAUACACCUCCAGCACCUGCUGGUUACUCAUGUUUAUACUUUACUCAAAUAAUAAAAAGAUGCAUAAUCAUAAAAACCCAAGUAAAGAUUUUGUGCUUAUAUACAUAUAUCUAGUUUGCUAAAUAAAUAAAUAAAUAAAGUCUGCUAUGAUCCCUCAUGAUAAGCUCUCACAUGGAAAUGAUGAAUAGUUGCUCUGCCAUGACUAGUUCUCAAAAUUAAAUUCUCUCUCAAAUUUAGGCAUGACUGUUAUGAAUUAAGAUUUGCUCUAAACCUGAACUUGUGGGAAGAGAACUUGAUCUGAAGUCUAAGUUGUUAAUGGAUAUGAUAUGGGAAGGUUAAGCUACUGUUUAUCUCUUCCUAGAGAUGCUAGAAUUCUGGAGAAUUUUAUCUUUGAAAAUCUUUAAAAUGUUGCAUGAUGAGUUCCUGUAUGAUGAGAGUUUAAAUUCCUACCACAUCCAUAUAUACAUGCUUGCUAGACUUUGAGCCACACAUUUACUUUUACUGCUUAUGAGCAUUGAGUGUGGUUAAAUCAAGAUUCACUUGCAUGUUCACUCGCACAUGCUGCUUCUACUCCGGAAGUAUGCAUCCACAUAUAUCCAUCCAUUUCCAUCUCCAGAAUCACCCAAAAAUAUUCUACUCCUAAUCCGGGAGAGAAUAGCCAAAAACAUUCUCCUAUUCCUGUUUUUCCCUGUGAAAUAAAUGCUUGAGAUAUUUUGGUUACUACCACUUGCUACAUUAUUCUAGGAGGAUGAGUGCUCUGAAAAAAAAAUGAAAACGAGGAAAUAAAAAGGGGCAAGUGCCCGGAACCUCGAAGAAAAGAAAAAGUGAGACGAGAGGUAAAAAUGGACAAGUGUCCGAUAGCAGAAUUAGGGGUAUAAGAUACCCACCUGAGAGAAAAGAAAAAUAAAAUAUAGAGCAUCUCAUUCUCCUCAAAAAGUUUCAAAAGAGCAAGAAAGGUAUGUAUCCCCUCAAAAGAGCAAAAGUAGAAUUAGACUUUCACCAUUGUUAUCACCAUCAUUACCAUGCACCAUUCAUUCACCACACAUGCACAUCUUGAUUUGACUUAUUGACUUGUUCUUCGGGAUCCAUGGUUUGACUAUGCAAUAAAUGUCUUGUAAGUAUGUAUUAGCUGUCUCCCACCUAUGAGCUCUAGAUAUCAAAAUCCUUAUUAGAGUAGGGUGAUAGAGAAGGCAAUGUCACUAUGCCUCAUACCAAAAAUACCACAUACUUUGAGAGAAGGCAUACACCUUUACUGCCUUGGUAAGGAUCCAGAAAUACCACAAAAGAGAGACUAGAGAGAGUCAUACAAGGAAUCUCUGAGUUUUAUUUGAAAAUCUGCAAAAACUCUAGAGCUAUAGUUAUUCGAAGAACAAGAGACAUGGCGCUUGACUAGACCAUUCUAUCUUUUAACUGCUCAAGACACAGGUGAUGGUUGCAAGCCCCAUGGUGGAAGGUAAAAUGAGUAAGUUUAAAUCUUAACAGUUUACCCUAACCCAGAGAUG
rnacentral:lncRNA from 1 species